CAUGUCCUUUUGAUUAUAAUUUAAGGUCUAAUCUGCUCAAUGAGAAUUUAAAUUGCCGCGGUAUUCUGACCGUGCAAAGGUAGCAUAAUAAUUAGUUUUUUUAUUGAAAGCUGGAAUGAAUGAUUGGACGAGAAAACAACUGUCUCUUUUAAAAUUAUUGUUUAAUUUAACUUUUAAGUAAAAAGGCUUAGAUUUUUAUUAAAGACGAGAAGACCCUAUAGAGUUUUAUAUUUGUAUAGUAUAAAUUUGUUUGGAAUUUCAAUUUUUUAUAUUAUAUAAUUAUUUGGUUGGGGUGACUAAAAGAUUUAAUAAACUCUUUUAAUAUUUUAUCAUUGAUUUUUGAAUAUUGUAUCUAGAUUUAUUUAAAUUUAAGAUAAAUUACCUUAGGGAUAACAGCGUAAUUUCUUUUUAGAGUUCUUAUUGAUAAAGGAGUUUGCGACCUCGAUGUUGGAUUAAAAUUUAUUUUUGGUGCAGAAGCUAGAAUAUUAAGUCUGUUCGACUUUUGAAAUUUUACAUGAUCUGAGU
rnacentral:rRNA from 1 species